rnacentral:rRNA from 1 species
GAUGAACGCUGGCGGCGUGCCUAAUACAUGCAAGUCGAGCGAACAGAUAAGGAGCUUGCUCCUUUGACGUUAGCGGCGGACGGGUGAGUAACACGUGGGUAACCUACCUAUAAGACUGGAAUAACUCCGGGAAACCGGGGCUAAUGCAGGAUAACAUGUUGAACCGCAUGGUUCUACAGUGGAAGGCGGCUUUGCUGUCACUUAUAGAUGGACCCGCGCCGUAUUAGCUAGUUGGUGAGGUAACGGCUCACCAAGGCAACGAUACGUAGCCGACCUGAGAGGGUGGUCGGCCACACUGGAACUGAGACACGGUCCAGACUCCUACGGGAGGCAGCAGUAGGGAAUCUUCCGCAACGGGCGAAAGCCUGACGGAGCAACGCCGCGUGAGUGAUGAAGGUCUUCGGAUCGUAAAACUCUGUUAUUAGGGAAGAACAAAUGCGUAAGUAACUGUGCGCGUCUUGACGGUACCUAAUCAGAAAGCCACGGCUAACUACGUG